rnacentral:rRNA from 1 species
GAUGAACGCUGGCGGCGUGCCUAAUACAUGCAAGUCGAGCGAACAGACGAGGAGCUUGCUCCUUUGACGUUAGCGGCGGACGGGUGAGUAACACGUGGGUAACCUACCUAUAAGACUGGGAUAACUUCGGGAAACCGGAGCUAAUACCGGAUAAUAUUUCGAACCGCAUGGUUCGAUAGUGAAAGAUGGCUUUGCUAUCACUUAUAGAUGGACCUGCGCCGUAUUAGCUAGUUGGUAAGGUAACGGCUUACCAAGGCAACGAUACGUAGCCGACCUGAGAGGGUGAUCGGCCACACUGGAACUGAGACACGGUCCAGACUCCUACGGGAGGCAGCAGUAGGGAAUCUUCCGCAAUGGGCGAAAGCCUGACGGAGCAACGCCGCGUGAGUGAUGAAGGUCUUCGGAUCGUAAAACUCUGUUAUUAGGGAAGAACAAAUGUGUAAGUAACUGUGCACGUCUUGACGGUACCUAAUCAGAAAGCCACGGCUAACUACGUG